rnacentral:rRNA from 1 species
UACGUAGGGUGCAAGCGUUGUCCGGAAUUAUUGGGCGUAAAGAGCUCGUAGGCGGUUUGUCGCGUCUGCUGUGAAAACUCGGGGCUUAACUCCGGGCCUGCAGUGGGUACGGGCAGACUAGAGUGCGGUAGGGGAGACUGGAAUUCCUGGUGUAGCGGUGAAAUGCGCAGAUAUCGAGGGGAACACCAGUGGCGAAGGCGAGUCUCUGGACGACACCUGACACUGAGGCACGAAAGCCAGGGGAGCAAACAGG